rnacentral:rRNA from 1 species
UACGUAGGGUGCAAGCGUUGUCCGGAAUUAUUGGGCGUAAAGAGCUCGUAGGCGGUUUGUCGCGUCUGCUGUGAAAACCCGAGGCUCAACCUCGGGCCUGCAGUGGGUACGGGCAGACUAGAGUGCGGUAGGGGAGAUUGGAAUUCCUGGUGUAGCGGUGGAAUGCGCAGAUAUCAGGAGGAACACCAAUGGCGAAGGCAGAUCUCUGGGCCGUAAGCUGACGCUGAGGAGCGAAAGCAUGGGGAGCGAACAGG